rnacentral:lncRNA from 10 species
CCCCCCCACCGCCCCCGGCAGCGUUCCCCCCUUAACACCUUCCCCCAGGUGGUGAGGGGCCAAAGCUCGGGGAUGGACAAGAGAAAGGAAGGAGAUGUCACUGCUGAAUUUCUGCUGAAUUUCCUUCUGCCUGCUGCCCGAUUUCUAUUUGACUGGCAAUAGUCUGCACCUCUGCACAGACUUCCUCCAGCCAGAGUGGCAGAAGACAGAGAAGCAUGUCCAGGAUUUGGACCAGACUGCCUGGUCCCAGUUCUGCACUGGGCCUGUUACUUACGGCCUAGUUUUAGGAAAGUCAGCCUCAUCUGCAAAGCAGGGAAAUAAUUUCCAACCCAUGAGGUUGUUGUAUGGACCCAGUUGAGAAUGUAUGAAAACAUGCAACAACUAUAAAGAUUGUUAAAAUAGGAGGACCUAUUAGAGCCUUUGCCCCGGCGUCGGUGACUCAGUGUUCGCGGGAGCGCCGCACCUACACCAGCCAACCCAGAUCCCGAGGUCCGACAGCGCCCGGCCCAGAUCCCCACGCCUGCCAGGAGCAAGCCGAGAGCCAGCCGGCCGGCGCACUCCGACUCCGA